UACGUAGGGUGCGAGCGUUAAUCGGAAUUACUGGGCGUAAAGCGUGCGCAGGCGGUUUUGUAAGACUGUCGUGAAAUCCCCGGGCUCAACCUGGGAAUGGCGAUGGUGACUGCAAGGCUAGAGUUUGGCAGAGGGGGGUAGAAUUCCACGUGUAGCAGUGAAAUGCGUAGAUAUGUGGAGGAACACCGAUGGCGAAGGCAGCCCCCUGGGUCAAAACUGACGCUCAUGCACGAAAGCGUGGGGAGCAAACAGG
rnacentral:rRNA from 1 species